rnacentral:rRNA from 1 species
GAUCCUGGCUCAGGACGAACGCUGGCGGCGUGCUUAACACAUGCAAGUCGAACGAUGAUGCUCCAGCUUGCUGGGGUGGAUUAGUGGCGAACGGGUGAGUAACACGUGAGUAACCUGCCCCCUUCUUCGGGAUAAGCUUGGGAAACUGGGUCUAAUACUGGAUAUUCUGCAAUUGUCGCAUGGUGGUUGUGGGAAAGAUUUUUUGGUGGGGGAUGGGCUCGCGGCCUAUCAGCUUGUUGGUGGGGUG